rnacentral:rRNA from 1 species
GAUGAGCAUGCGUCCCAUUAGCUAGUUGGUAAGGUAACGGCUUACCAAGGCUACGAUGGGUAGGGGUCCUGAGAGGGAGAUCCCCCACACUGGUACUGAGACACGGACCAGACUCCUACGGGAGGCAGCAGUGAGGAAUAUUGGACAAUGGGCGCAAGCCUGAUCCAGCCAUGCCGCGUGCAGGAUGACGGUCCUAUGGAUUGUAAACUGCUUUUAUACGAGAAGAAACACUGCUUCGUGAAGCAGCUUGACGGUAUCGUAAGAAUAAGGAUCGGCUAACUCCGUGCCAGCAGCCGCGGUAAUACGGAGGAUCCAAGCGUUAUCCGGAAUCAUUGGGUUUAAAGGGUCCGUAGGCGGUUUGGUAAGUCAGUGGUGAAAGCCCAUCGCUCAACGGUGGAACGGCCAUUGAUACUGCCAGACUUGAAUUAUUAGGAAGUAACUAGAAUAUGUAGUGUAGCGGUGAAAUGCUUAGAGAUUACAUGGAGUACCAAUUGCGAAGGCAGGUUACUACUAAUGGAUUG